UUGAAUCUGAGAGUUUCCAAAAA
rnacentral:snRNA from 1 species